GCCUUCGUAGCAAAACGGUAAUGCUGGGGACCUAAGUUCCCUCAUAAGGAGUUCAAUUCUUCUCUAAGGCU
rnacentral:tRNA from 1 species